GACGAACGCUGGCGGCGUGCUUAACACAUGCAAGUCGAACGGAAAGGCCCUGCUUUUGUGGGGUGCUCGAGUGGCGAACGGGUGAGUAACACGUGAGUAACCUGCCCUUGACUUUGGGAUAACUUCAGGAAACUGGGGCUAAUACCGGAUAGGAGCUCCUGCUGCAUGGUGGGGGUUGGAAAGUUUCGGCGGUUGGGGAUGGACUCGCGGCUUAUCAGCUUGUUGGUGGGGUAGUGGCUUACCAAGGCUUUGACGGGUAGCCGGCCUGAGAGGGUGACCGGCCACAUUGGGACUGAGGUAAGGCCCAGACUCCUACGGGAGGCAGCAGGGGGGAAUAUUGCACAAUGGGCGGAAGCCUGAUGCAGCAACGCCGCGUGCGGGAUGACGGCCUUCGGGUUGUAAACCGCUUUCGCCUGUGACGAAGCGUGAGUGACGGUAAUGGGUAAAGAAGCACCGGCUAACUACGUG
rnacentral:rRNA from 1 species